AAACAAAACUGAAGAAAAGAUAAGCACAAAAUAAGAAGAUGCAUUUAAGCCCAAAUAUAUUAGCUAUCACAAGAAAAGAACAUGGAAUAAAUUAUUGAAUAAGUAGGCAGUAAUUUUUGAUGAGUUAAAAAUAUCCAGUAAUAAUUAGUUCAUAGCUUACACAUCUAAGGUAUAAUGUCAUAGAAAUAUAUUAAAUCGAGGUCUAGAAAAUACAUACCUGUAAUUAUUAAACACAAACACACACAAAAAAAUGCACAUUUGUAUCGGACAAAUAGAAAUAAGGGAGAAAAUAUCAACAGGAAAACAUACUUUACAAUUUUAAACAUGAAUUCAAAUUACAUAAAACAAUUUUAGUAUAAUGAGAAUAAAGGGUUAAAUCUCUAAACAAACCAGUCUGCUUUGAUAUUCGUUAUCUCAGUAAUAAUAUCAAAAAGGCAGGCAUAACAUUGGUACAGUUCUGUUGGAUUCACAUACCAUGAUGAACACAUUUGGCCUGAUAAAUCCAUAUAACAUAACAGACACCAAUUGCAGCAUGUUUUAGCACAGAGUACAAACAAAACUGAGAAUAGCUAGGACAAUUAAAAAUCUCUUUAAACUUGUGUAAAAUGAAAUAAAAUAAUUCAAUCAGGGUACAGAUCAAAAAUAGAAGAUAACUGGAAAUUUUUUAAGCUGUGGUUGCAUAUCAAGUCACAAAACGCUAAGUAACCCAUGCAUAAAGAAAACAAAGAUAAUCAAAAUUUGAGAAUAUUUUAUUUGCAAGAUGGCAUCUCCAACACCAAUUUCAUAGGUCUUUUAAAAGCAGUAUAAUUUACAGUAUUCUGACAAGUUAGGAAAAAUAGAUGGGGUCGGCCUUUAUCUUAGAGUGUGGGCUUCGGCUAGUCACCUGACUUCUCUGUACCUCUGUAUUCUCACCAUUACAUUAAAGGAGUCUCUAUGGUCCCUUAAAGUGCUCAAGCUCUAUUAUUAAUAGUAUAAUUUUGUGGUUUUAAAUUAUCAUAGGAUAUUCAACCUGAAGUUUUGCUUUACAAUGUACCAAAACUAAUGUCAUUUCUACAUAUUCUCAUGAGAUUCAAUGAAUUUUAAAGCAAUCCCAUUUAAUGUACAUGUUAUCAACAAAGGAUGAUAAUUAGAAAGAUAUACAUUCAUUUCAAACAUCUUUAAAAAUAACAGAAAAAUAUAUCCCGGUAAUAUGAAAAAACAUCUCUACAAGCAUGAUUCCAUUAAUAUAAAUUUCAAAAUCAGGCCAUAAUAUAAUAGCUAUCAUUAUUGACACAUAUUUAAAGUGUCAAACUAUGAAGAAAUCUUGAUAAUAGCAUCCUCUGAAGCGUUGGAUGGAAUUUGCAAUCUGGCAGACUCAUGCUGGGCAUGCUGAGAUUUUGUUCCAUAUUUUCAUUGGAGGGUGUGGAGAUUCACUGUAUUGGUUUUAAUGUAUUACAUUUAUUCUUUUUUCCCAUUUCUCAUACAUGUAUAAACCUAUAGAUUAAGUAAACAAAUCUUAAAUUUAUAGCUUGAAGACUACCUACAUGUGUUUCCCAUGUAAUUCCUAGAACUGCAAAUGAAGAGAACAUUUCCUCCCUCUCAGGCACAAAUUUGCCUUCUCUCAGUUAAUGCUGCAAAAAUGUGAACAUUAUUCUGUUUUUUUAAAAAAUCACCAUUUAUGAGGUUUGUCUGGUUAAAAAAGUAUCAAUAAAAUUCUACUGUAUUUGCUACUGUGUGUUUGGCGUGUCACUGCCACUCGAGAUUUUCUGAGGUGGAGGAGACUAUAUUUUUUAUCAUUAGUAGUUAAUCCACUUCCAUAACUACCAUAAAACCCAGGCUAACAGUAGUGAGUUCUGGAGGUAAUUACACCCACUCUAGAUUUUCUGAUUAUAAUCACUACCUUUUCUCUUAACCUCAAAUGAAAACCCAGACUCAUGAGGUCUCCAACCCUGACCUUUCAUUCCUGGCAAAUACCACGGCCAACUAUAUUACAGAAAGGUUUUUCAUAGGAGAACACAAUUUUGUGUUCCCCAAAUCCAAACCCUUCACUUUGCUCUGUGAGGCAGAUGGCAACCCCAAACUACAAACAGGUUGGGGCUUCCACAAGCCCCAACUCAAGUAUUCCUUCCUGGAAAAUUCAUUCAUCUUGUUGGACAAAAGUAACAGUUUUAAUCUGUGUGUUUUCUUCCACUUUAUGACUGUUUCACAAUUUACUUAAAUAUCUUACAGAUGACUGUCAUUUGAAUUAUUUAUAGUUGUUGAUUAUUGUGAAAUUGUUAUAAAUCUUUGUGUACAUGUAUUUUGGUGUAAGAAAGCCCUCAUUCCUAAUGGUUAUGUCCCCAGAGUGAUUUGUUGGGUUAUAAAACACAUUUAAUUUAAUGUGAAACCCUUACCUCAGAUCAUAUAUAAACGUUAACUCAGGCCGGGCUCAGUGGCUCACGCCUGUAAUCCCAGCACUUUGGGAGGCCGAGGUGGGUGGAUCACCUUGAGGUCAGGAGUUGGAGACCAGCCUCACCAAUAAGACAAAACCCCAUCUCUACUAAAAAUACGAAAAUUAGCUGGGCAUAGUGGCAUGUGCCUGUAGUCCCAGCUACUUAGGAGGCUGAGGUACGAGAAUCGCUUGAACCUGGGAGGCAGAGGUUGCAGUGAGCCAAGAUUGUAUCAUUUUGCACUCCAGUCUGUGUGGCAGAGCGAGAUUCCGUUAAAAAAAAAAAAAAAAAAGGGUCUCAGACCACAUAAAAGAUCUAAAAAUAUAAAAUGCCUAGAAGAAAACAUAAGUCAAAGCUUUGCAACAUUGCAGUAGGCAAAGUCUAAUUAGACAGGACACACACAAAAAAACAUAAAGACAAAAUAUUUUUAUUACAUCAGAAUUUAAGACAUCUACUCUUCCAAAAACACUGCUAAGAAAAUUAAAAGGCAAGUCAAAGACUGAAAAAAAAAACAAUUUGCAAAACAUAUAACUGAGAAAUGACUAUAAUAUAGAACAUUUAAAAAGGAGAAAAUUAAAGCAAAGUUAUGUAAUUUCGUGUUAAGAAGAAAAAAGCAAUUAAAAAUUGAAAAAAGAUUUGGACCAGCUGGGCGUGGUGGUGCGUGCCUGUAAUCCGAGCUACUCAAGAGGCCGAGGCAUGAGAAUCAGUUGAACUUGGGAGACAGAGGUUUCAGUGAGCUAAGAUUGCACCAUUGCACUCUAGCCUGGGAGAUAGAGCAAGAUUCUGUCUCAAAAAAAAAAAAAAAAAAAAAAGAUUUGGACAAAUAACUAAAGAUAUACAAAUCAACAAUGAACACAUGAAAAGAUAUUCAAUAUCAUGAGUCAUUUUAGCAAUGCAACUUAAAACCCAAAUAAAAUACUGCAACACACCUGCUGAAAUUAGUAAAAUGUUUCAAAGUGACAAUAAAUACCAAGUGAUGACAAAGAUGCAGCACUGGACUCUCAUACAUUUUUGAUGAGAAUGCAAAAUGAUAGUCAUUUUGGAAAACAACUUGACAGCUUCCUAUAUAGGUAAAUAUAAACAUACCAUAUGAUAUACCAAUUCUACUCUUAGUUAUUUACAAAAGACAAGUUAAAAUGUUUCCAUCCAAAUAUCUGUAGCAAAUAUUCAUGAACGUCCUAUUCACGACAGCCAAAAACUUGGAAAAUUGUUCACGAACAGGUGAACAGAUGAACAAAUUGUAGCAUAUCCACAAAAUAAACUACUCUAUAUAAGAAACAAUAUGAAAUAAAAUGAAUAAAUCCCAAAAUCAUAUGCCAAGUGAAAAUAUCUGAAAACCACAUAUUAUAUGAUUCCAUUCACUUCACAUUCUAAAAAAGGCAAAAAGAGAAAAACCUAAAUGAAUGGGCCUUAUAGCUGGAGUUUGGGAGACAGUUUGACUAUAUCAAGGAAUAUUUUCUUGUGAUGGAAAUAUUUCACAGCUUUAAUGGUGGUUUGUGAUCACAAAAUCAUGUAUUCAUCAAAAUUCACCAAAAAUAUUCUUAACAGGAGAUUACUGAAUGCAAAGUUUACUUCAUUAUCUUUUUUAAGAAAAAUUAAUAGGACUGAACAUGAUGGCUCAUGCUUGCAAUCCUAGCACUUAGGAGGGCAGAGGCAGGAGGAUAGAAUGAGCCUAGGAGUUCAAGACCUGCCUGGGCAACAUAACAAGACCUCAUUCUCCACAAAAAUAAAAAAAGGCAAAAAAAUUAAUAGAAGAAUAUUUAAACUUAGAGAUAAUUCAAGACUACACCUUAGAUAUUCCCCUAGACCUGUCCAAAAAAAAAAAAAAAAGGAAUGAUAUAUAAAGAAAACAUGCAAGAAAACAAUGCAAAAUUUGAACUUCCUUUAGAGUAAGUGAAAACAUAGGGAUGGCUGUAUAGAUUUAGGAAAGACAACCAUACAUUCCUUUAAUUGGUGUGGAUAAGUGAUUUCCCCCAAAAAUGGCAAUGGCAAGGCCAGAAAAAUACUGGGCAUCUGAGAAACUGGAUCCUCCAGAGAUUUUAGUUCACUGAGGGAUGGGAAGAGGUCUGUGGGGUGGUGGAAAUGGGGGUUAAGGUUUUUCCCAGAACUUCCAAACAGCCUGGGUCAGCUCAGAAAACGUUGGACUAAUGUUCAAUCUAGGUUUAGAGCUUUGCAUGGUUGAGUCCCACAGAAUGGGGCAAAAAGAGGAAGACAUUUCAGAAAAUGAGUAUGAAGUAACGAUCUACAGAAGUGAGAGGGGAAAGAAUGUGAAAAUUGGGUGUUCAUUAAUAGAAAGAAUGUGAAAACAGAACUUCUUACUUUUGAUAUUCUAUGGCAGUAAACUGUGAGAUGAUUACUGGAGUACAGGGAGUUUAUCUGAGAUAUGAACUCAGGAUGCACAGGAAUGAAAAUGAGGCAGUGAGACGGAAGAGGGGGCGCAAUAAAACUUUAUUAGUGGCCAGGCACAGUGGCUCACACCUGUAAUCCCAGCACUUUGGGAGGCUGAAGAGGGUGGAUCAAUUGAGGUCAAGGGUUCGAGACCAGCCUGGCCAACAUGGUGAAACCCUGUCUCUACCAAAAAUACAAAAAUUAGCCGGGUGUGGUGGUGGACACCUGUAAUCUCAGCUACUAAGAAGGCUGAGGCAUGAGAAUCACUUGAACCCAGGAGGCGAAGGCUGCAGUGAGCCGAGAUCACACCACUGCACUCCUACCCUACAGCCUGGGGGACAGAGCCAGACUCUGUCUCAAAAAACAAAACAAAACAAAAACUUUAUUAGUGAGCAGGCUGACAUCCUCCCAGAGGUCAUUUGAUAAGACUUGUAGGAAGAUGGGUUGUACAGAACAAGACAUCAACAGCGUUAGCUACAAACCCUAAUCCAUUUGUGUCUACAUUGUGAUUGGAUCUUUAAGGUAAUGACCAGCCAGUGUUGGUAUAUGAAGAAGUCAAUACACUCCCUUAUAAUGGUUUCAGCAAAGGCUCUGUUGGCAGGGAAGUUAAUGUCAUAUCCAGAAAAAGCAGCAAUGCCAUUAAAUAAGAAUCAAUGCACUGUCUGGGAGGAAAAAGGUCUGACGUAAACAUGUCACCAAGGGGCAGGCUGUUCUCUUGUAGGGAUUACACCAUAUACUGUCUUAGUGUUGGUCUUCGUAAAUAGUAGGUAAGGAGCGGAGCUAUUUUAGUUGUGGUCAGCAGGAUGCCAUGUUGUUGGGCCCUUUUAAAACCUCCAUUCCUGGCUGGCUGCAGUGGCUCACGCCUGUAAUCCCAGCAUUUUGGGAGGCUGAGGUGGGUGGAUCAUGAGGUCAAGAGAUCGAGACCAUCCUGGCCAACAUGGUGAAACCCCGUCUCUACUAAAAAUACAAAAAUUAGCUGGGCAUGGUUGCAAGCGCCUAUAAUCCCAGCUACUCAGGAGGCUGAGGCAGGAGAAUUGCUUGAACUCGGGAGGUGGAGGUUGUAGUGAGCUGAGAUCGUGCCACUGCACUCCAGCCUGGUGACAGAGUGAGACUCCGUCUCAAAACAAACAAACAAACAAAAAACAAUAACAAACAAAAAAAACCCUCCGUCCCCUAACACCUUGGUGACUAUAUUUUAUAUCCCUAGAGUGCAAGGACUGGGAUGGCUGAGGACUGAGCCUGGUUAACCUUAACUACUAGGUUCCCCUCCCCUCUUCUGCAGUGGGUUUCUUUUUAUAGGCACUGACGUGGGACAUAAAUAUCCACUCACUUUGCCCACUCCAGUAAUUUCAUGCCCUUGUUCUAUAUAUACUUGUCACUGAUCUGCAGCACUUCUGAACAACGAGACAAACCAUUUCCCACAAAAGCACACAUGUAUCUUUACCUCAGGGCACUUCUCCCAGCACAAAGGUAACGCCCACUUGUACUGGUCCAGCUUCAGGCCAUGGAGAGGAUUUCUCUACAUCCCUGGCCACAUCACAGCCACUCAAGGCAGGAUGUGAUGUAUCAAUCUAUUUUUAGCUUACUCCAAACAUCAAGAUAAUCCAUCUAUAAAUAAGGCUGGGUUUGUUUUUUUUCCUAUUUUUCAGCCAACCAAAAGUAUGACAGUCUGAUUCCAUUUUUGUUUUAUGGGUUUUUUUUUUUGUUGUUGUUUUUUAGACAGAGUCUCACUCUGUUGCCCCGGCUGGAGUGCAGUGGCACAUUCUUGGCUCUCUGCAACCUCCGCCUCCAGGGUUCAAGCGAUUCUUGUGCUUCAGCCUCCUGAGUAGCUGGAAUUACAGGCAUGCGCCACCAUGACCGGCUAAUUUUUUGUAUUUUUAGUAGAGACACGGUUUCGCUAUGUUGGCCACGCUUGUCUUGAACUCCUGGCCUGAGGCAAUCCUCCCUGCUCGGCCUCCCAAAGUGCUGGGAUUACAGGCGUGAGCCACCGUGCCUGGCCUCUGACUCCAUUUUUGAUAUGUGACAUUUGAUUGUUGCCAGUUUAAAAGCCCCACCUCCCCUUUGGCCCACUUUUAAGCAACCUGAUUUAAAAAGUCUACAUGCUCCUUCCCUUUGCACAGCAGGAGAGCCAAACUCCCACCCCUAGCCAGUAGCAAGGCAGAAGGAGGCAGUCCAAGGCAAUGCUAGUUGGCAUUAUACUUUCACUUCCAGGAUAGCGCCAUCUCAAGGCAAGCAGUGAGAGUCGUCAGCACUCCACUCCCUGCAGCCCUCUCCAAAGACAGAUCAAGGUCACAAAACUUAAAAGAAGAGCGCUUCAAGGACAUUUGGAACAGGUAAAAUAGAGACCUAACAUUUGAAACAAUUAAAAUAGAGGCCUGACAUUUGGAACAAUUAAAAUAAAGACCUCACUCAGUUUUUCUGAGUUGCAAAAAGGGGGAAGGGAGUGGGAAUGAAAAUAUUUGAAGAAAUAAAGGCCAAACAUUUCCCAGAUUUGGCAGAAGCCAUACACCUGAAGACUUGAAAAACCGAACAAUCACGCAACAGGAUAAACAUAAAAAAAUUCCACACUAGGACACAUCAUAAUCACAUUUCUGAAAACUAAAGACACACAUUUUAAAAGCAGUUAGAGAGAAAUGACACAUUAGUAAAGAAGAAGAACAGUUCAAAUGGAAGCAGAUUUCUCAUUUAAAACCAGAGGCCACAGGGAAGUGCUGCAAUGUUUUUCAAGUUUUCCAAAAGAAAAGACUUGUCAACCAUGAAUCCUAUACCACACAAAAAUUUCCUUCAAGAAUUAAGAAAUAAAGAUAUUCUCAGAUAAAAGAAAACAAAGAAUAUUUGUCACAGGUAGACUUAUUCUAAAAAAAAUGGCUACAGGAAGUUCUCCACAUGCAAAGAAAAUGGUAGAAGGAGGCUUCAAGAUAGAAGAACAAUGGAAAGGGUAAGAAAUACAGGCAAAGAGACUAUUCUUGUCCUUUCAACAAAGUCUGACAUUAUGACAUAGGACUAGAGAUUUUAAAUAAAUAGGUUUGACAACAGAAGCAGAAAUUAUAACAUCAUUCAAUAUGGUGCUCAGCACAUGGAGAGUAAAUGCUCAAGACAAUUGUAUUAAAAGAAUAAUGGGGCCGGGCGCAGUGGCUCACGCCUGUAAUCCCAGCACUUUGGGAGGUUGAGGCGGGUGGAUCACGAGGUCAGGAGAUCAGGCCAACGUGAUGAAACCCCAUUUCUACUAAAAAUACAAAAAUUAGCUAGGCAUGGUGGCAAGCGCCUGUAGUCCCAGUUACUGAAAGGCUGAGGCAGGAGAAU
rnacentral:lncRNA from 10 species